rnacentral:rRNA from 1 species
UACGAAGGGGACUAGCGUUGCUCGGAAUUACUGGGCGUAAAGGGCGCGUAGGCGGAUAGUUUAGUCAGAGGUAAAAGCCCAGGGCUCAACCUUGGAACUGCCUUUGAUACUGGCUAUCUUGAGUACGGGAGAGGUGUGUGGAACUCCGAGUGUAGAGGUGAAAUUCGUAGAUAUUCGGAAGAACACCAGUGGCGAAGGCGACACACUGGCCCGUUACUGACGCUGAGGCGCGAAAGCGUGGGGAGCAAACAGG